GACGGAGGAUGCAAGUGUUAUCCGGAAUCACUGGGCGUAAAGCGUCUGUAGGUGGUUCGAAAAAGUCCACUGUUAAAAAAUUGAGGCUUAACUUCAAAGAUGCCGUGGAAACUUUCAAACUAGAGUAUGGUAGGGGUAGAGGGAAUUUCCAGUGGAGCGGUGAAAUGCGUAGAGAUCCGGAAGAACACCGGUGGCGAAGGCGGCCUGCUGGGCAGUAGCUGACACUGAGGCGCGACAGCGUGGGGAGCAAACAGG
rnacentral:rRNA from 1 species